GAUGAACGCUAGCGGCAGGCUUAACACAUGCAAGUCGAGGGGUAUAGUUCUUCGGAACUAGAGACCGGCGCACGGGUGCGUAACGCGUAUGCAAUCUACCUUUUACAGGGGAAUAGCCCAGAGAAAUUUGGAUUAAUGCCCCAUAGUAUAGUUUAUUCGCAUGAGUAGAUUAUUAAAGUUCCAACGGUAAAAGAUGAGCAUGCGUCCCAUUAGCUAGAUGGUAAGGUAACGGAUGCCCAUGGCGACGAUGGGUAGGGGUCGUGAGAGGGAGAGCCCCCACACUGGUACUGAGACACGGACCAGACUCCUACGGGAGGCAGCAGUGAGGAAUAUUGGUCAAUGGACGCAAGUCUGAACCAGCCAUGCCGCGUGCAGGAUGACGGUCCUAUGGAUUGUAAACUGCUUUUGUACGAGAAGAAACACCGCUACGUGUAGCAGCUUGACGGUAUCGUAAGAAUAAGGAUCGGCUAACUCCGUGCCAGCCGCCGCCGUAA
rnacentral:rRNA from 1 species